GCCUUGAGAACGGCACCUCCAAGCUCCUUUCCCAGGAAUUACACUCAGCACUUCAGUUUCAAGGGGAAGUUGACAAAAAUGAUAUUGAAGAGGUUUUAGUGUCCAGACCAAGAACUGACAGACGAAGAGAUGCAAUUGCUGGUGGGCAGGUUACUAAUCAAAACGCAACAUGGUAAAGGCCAGAAAGUUAAGUCGCGAGAACUGAACUUGUGCGGGAUUUUCACUAGGAUUCACCAUGCUGCAAUGAUUGCAAAAUAAUGCGACUUUAAUUUGAAAGGCUUAGGGCAGGUUGUCAGGAUGUUCUGAAUGCCUGCAAAGAAUUGGGUGAUGGAAAAACGCCGGCGGCUAAGCAGUCAGGGACACUGUUGUAUUUCAAGCCUUCCAUGUUGGCCACAUUAGAUAACAGCCUGGACCUUUGACUUUGGGGGUGGCAGAUGCCAGAGACUGUGUGUUUGCCUGCUUGUCCUAAGGGUUUCAACAGAUGAUCAGUUUUUAAUAGAUGACCCCUCACCGUUUUCUCCUUACCGCAAUCUCCUUUACCUCCCACCACCCCAACCUCAGAUUAUUCGGUCUGAUACACCUAAUCAUCGCCUCUGAGCCUGGCAGUGUGCUCACCACCUUCAGAUUCUGGAUAGGUGAAUUUGCCAGAGACAAGAUAUGAGAACCAUUCAGACUGUCCCAAAAUACUUCUGUUCUUCUGGUCAUGAGUCUCACAUCAACCAGUGCAACAACUGUACACUUUCCAAACUGAUAUGGAGGCUGACAUCGUUUAAGUUCUCAUGUCGAAAUUUCAGAAAAUGAAUAUUCCUUGAACACCUUCACAAGGAUGUGUACUGUGCCAGAGGAAAAAAGGGAAAUGUACUAGCUUUCCAGAAUAGAAAAGUACUAAGAUUCCUUGGAAAAAAGAACAUUGUGAAGUGAUACAAAUGUCAAGACUGUAGCA